rnacentral:rRNA from 1 species
UACAGAGGUCUCAAGCGUUGUUCGGAUUCAUUGGGCGUAAAGGGUGCGUAGGUGGCGCCGUAAGUCAGGUGUGAAAUUUCGGAGCUUAACUCCGAAACUGCAUUUGAUACUGCGGUGCUUGAGGACUGGAGAGGAGACUGGAAUUUACGGUGUAGCAGUGAAAUGCGUAGAGAUCGAUAAGGAAGACCAGUGGCGAAGGCGGGUCUCUGGACAGUUCCUGACACUGAGGCACGGAAGGCCAGGGGAGGACAAAACGGG